CUUCCGUCCAUUAUUAUGGCGUCCAGCUCCACCUCUCCCGCUGUAUUCUGCACGGCUCCGUGACCUGGUGAAGACAUUGCAUUCAGUUAUGCCAGCUCCAUCAAAGGAUGAUGUCUCCUUCAGAAAUAGAAAGAUCCCGAAACAUCAGACAUCCAGACCUCUUUCCUUAUUCAAACAGAGGGUCAUCGACCCAGGACUUGAACUACUUUUUCCAGACUUCACUUUGUGCAACCAGCUUUGAUGCAAUCUGAUGAUUACCUGGAGACCUCUCACCUCUAUUUGGGCCCGAUCGUUAAAGCAGAGUGUCAAGGGUGUCAAAUAAGAUACAGUCCUUUCCCAGACAAAACACGCUGUCAAGGAAAACCUGCCAGUUU